ACCUGUCUUCGUCAGCGCUAUGAGCCCUCUGGUGAUGUCUUAUACCUUUCUGUGGUUCGUCAGGAGCAUGCUCUUCAGCAGGGUGACUCUACUGUUGAUGAUUUCUAUCGACAGAGUUCUGCUAUCUGGCACCAACUUGAUUCUCUCCACAGUGCUGGUUGUCGUACUUGCCCCUGUUGCCAGGCUGUCCAGGCUAAUUUGAAGUUUCAUCGCGUCUAUGAGUUCCUGUCUCGGCUCCCUAAGGAGUUUGAGCCCCGGCGUGCUCAGUUGUUUGCUCGUGGCCGUAUUUCUCUCAUGGAGGCGCUUUCAGAGAUACGUGCUGAGGAGACUCGCUUACGUGGUGCUGGUUUGCUGGAGGUUCCCUCUGUGCUCGCUACUCGGGCUUCUUCCACUCCACCUGCUGCACCAACCCCUUCUCGCUCGAGUGCUCCGCCGCUCUUGCCCACUCCUUCUGGAGGCUCAGGUGGCCCCCGUCCACAUUGUGACUACUGCAACAAUGAUGGUCAUAUUGAGUCCUAGUGCUACACGAAGCGGAAACACCUGCGCAAGGCACGAUCAUCAUCUUCAGGGACUUCGGCAUCUCCCUCGGCAGCUUCAGCCAUUGCUUUGACAGAGCAGGAUAUUCUAAGACUUAAGCGUCUGCUCGCGGCUUCAGGUCUUCCUCGAUGGGUACUGCUGGUUCUGUGA
rnacentral:rRNA from 1 species